rnacentral:rRNA from 1 species
GAUUAAGUUAUUAAGGGCGCACGGUGGAUGCCUUGGCACUAGAAGCCGAUGAAGGACGUUACUAACGACGAUAUGCUUUGGGGAGCUGUAAGUAAGCUUUGAUCCAGAGAUUUCCGAAUGGGGAAACCCAGCAUGAGUUAUGUCAUGUUAUCGAUAUGUGAAUACAUAGCAUAUCAGAAGGCACACCCGGAGAACUGAAACAUCUUAGUACCCGGAGGAAGAGAAAGAAAAUUCGAUUCCCUUAGUAGCGGCGAGCGAAACGGGAAGAGCCCAAACCAACAAGCUUGCUUGUUGGGGUUGUAGGACACUCUAUACGGAGUUACAAAGGACGACAUUAGACGAAUCAUCUGGAAAGAUGAAUCAAAGAAGGUAAGUCGAAAUUUUGUUCUCUCUUGAGUGGAUCCUGAGUACGACGGAGCACGUGAAAUUCCGUCGGAAUCUGGGAGGACCAUCUCCUAAGGCUAAAUACUCUCUAGUGACCGAUAGUGAACCAGUACCGUGAGGGAAAGGUGAAAAGCACCCCGGAAGGGGAGUGAAAUAGAACCUGAAACCGUGUGCUUACAAGUAGUCAGAGCCCGUUAAUGGGUGAUGGCGUGCCUUUUGUAGAAUGAACCGGCGAGUUACGAUUUGAUGCAAGGUUAAGCAGUAAAUGUGGAGCCGUAGCGAAAGCGAGUCUGAAUAGGGCGUUUAGUAUUUGGUCGUAGACCCGAAACCAGGUGAUCUACCCUUGGUCAGGGUGAAGUUCAGGUAACACUGAAUGGAGGCCCGAACCCACGCACGUUGAAAAGUGCGGGGAUGAGGUGUGGGUAGCGGAGAAAUUCCAAUCGAACCUGGAGAUAGCUGGUUCUCCCCGAAAUAGCUUUAGGGCUAGCCUUAAGUGAAGAGUCUUGGAGGUAGAGCACUGAUUGGACUAGGGGUCCUCAUCGGAUUACCGAAUUCAGUCAAACUCCGAAUGCCAAUGACUUAUCCUUAGGAGUCAGACUGCGAGUGAUAAGAUCCGUAGUCAAAAGGGAAACAGCCCAGACCGCCAGCUAAGGUCCCAAAGUGUGUAUUAAGUGGAAAAGGAUGUGGAGUUGCUUAGACAACUAGGAUGUUGGCUUAGAAGCAGCCACCAUUUAAAGAGUGCGUAAUAGCUCACUAGUCGAGUGACACUGCGCCGAAAAUGUACCGGGGCUAAACAUAUUACCGAAGCUGUGGAUUGUCCUUUGGACAAUGGUAGGAGAGCGUUGCUUAGAAGUGAGAAUGCCGGUGUGAGUAGCGAAAGACGGGUGAGAAUCCCGUCCACCGAUUGACUAAGGUUUCCAGAGGAAGGCUCGUCCGCUCUGGGUUAGUCGGGUCCUAAGCUGAGGCCGACAGGCGUAGGCGAUGGAUAACAGGUUGAUAUUCCUGAGCUACGAAUCGAAGCCCCAGUAAACGGCGGCCGUAACUAUAACGGUCCUAAGGUAGCGAAAUUCCUUGUCGGGUAAGUUCCGACCCGCACGAAAGGCGUAACGAUUUGGGCACUGUCUCAACGAGAGACUCGGUGAAAUCAUAGUACCUGUGAAGAUGCAGGUUACCCGCGACAGGACGGAAAGACCCCGUGGAGCUUUACUGUAGCCUGAUAUUGAAAUUCGGCACAGCUUGUACAGGAUAGGUAGGAGCCUUUGAAACGUGAGCGCUAGCUUACGUGGAGGCGCUGGUGGACCCUAGCUGUGUUGGCUUUCUAACCCGCACCACUUAUCGUGGUGGGAGACAGUGUCAGGCGGGCAGUUUGACUGGGGCGGUCGCCUCCUAAAAGGUAACGGAGGCGCUCAAAGGUUCCCUCAGAAUGGUUGGAAAUCAUUCAUAGAGUGUAAAGGCAUAAGGGAGCUUGACUGCGAGACCUACAAGUCGAGCAGGGUCGAAAGACGGACUUAGUGAUCCGGUGGUUCCGCAUGGAAGGGCCAUCGCUCAACGGAUAAAAGCUACCCCGGGGAUAACAGGCUUAUCUCCCCCAAGAGUCCACAUCGACGGGGAGGUUUGGCACCUCGAUGUCGGCUCAUCGCAUCCUGGGGCUGUAGUCGGUCCCAAGGGUUGGGCUGUUCGCCCAUUAAAGCGGUACGCGAGCUGGGUUCAGAACGUCGUGAGACAGUUCGGUCCCUAUCCGUCGUGGGCGUAGGAAAUUUGAGAGGAGCUGUCCUUAGUACGAGAGGACCGGGAUGGACGCACCGCUGGUGUACCAGUUGUUCUGCCAAGGGCAUAGCUGGGUAGCUAUGUGCGGAAGGGAUAAGUGCUGAAAGCAUCUAAGCAUGAAGCCCCCCUCAAGAUGAGAUUUCCCAUCGUAAGCUAUAAGAUCCCUGAAAGAUGAUCAGGUUGAUAGGUUCGAGGUGGAAGCAUGGUGACAUGUGGAGCUGACGAAUACUAAUCGAUCGAAGACUUAAUCAA